UGGCGGACGGGUGAGUAAUGUCUGGGAAACUGCCUGAUGGAGGGGGAUAACUACUGGAAACGGUAGCUAAUACCGCAUAACGUCGCAAGACCAAAGAGGGGGACCUUCGGGCCUCUUGCCAUCGGAUGUGCCCAGAUGGGAUUAGCUAGUAGGUGGGGUAAAGGCUCACCUAGGCGACGAUCCCUAGCUGGUCUGAGAGGAUAACCAGCCACACUGGAACUGAGACACGGUCCAG
rnacentral:rRNA from 1 species